UGGGGAAUAUUGCACAAUGGGCGCAAGCCUGAUGCAGCCAUGCCGCGCGUAUUAAGAAGGCCUCCGGGCUGUAAAGUACUUUCAGCGGGGAGGAAGGGAGUAAAGUUAAUACCUUUGCUCAUUGACGUUACCCGCAGAAGAAGCACCGGCUAACUCCGUGCCAGCAGCCGCGGUAAUACGGAGGGUGCAAGCGUUAAUCGGAAUUACUGGGCGUAAAGCGCACGCAGGCGGUUGAUUGAGUCAGAUGUGAAAUCCCCGGGCUUAACCCGGGAAUUGCAUCUGAUACUGGUCAGCUAGAGUCUUGUAGAGGGGGGUAGAAUUCCAUGUGUAGCGGUGAAAUGCGUAGAGAUGUGGAGGAAUACCGGUGGCGAAGGCGGCCCCCUGGACAAAGAAUGACGCUCAGGUGCGAAAGCGUGGGGAGCAAACAGG
rnacentral:rRNA from 1 species